rnacentral:tRNA from 1 species
GCUGGCAUAGCUCAAUUGGCAGAGCAACGGUUUUGUAAACCGUAGGUUGUAGGUUCGAUUCCUAUUGUCAGCUCCA